GGGCUAGCCUUGGUAGCACGUCUGCUAAAAUUAGAUUGAUACAGAGAGGAUUAUCAUGGUUCCUGAGCAAGAAUGAGGCACAAAUUCCAGAACUAUUCUGUUAUUUA
ensembl:snRNA U6 U6 spliceosomal RNA